rnacentral:rRNA from 1 species
UACGUAGGGUGCAAGCGUUGUCCGGAAUUAUUGGGCGUAAAGAGCUCGUAGGCGGUUUGUUGCGUCGGCUGUGAAAUCCCGAGGCUCAACCUCGGGUCUGCAGUCGAUACGAGCAAACUAGAGUGUUGCAGGGGAGACUGGAAUUCCCGGUGUAGCGGUGAAAUGCGUAGAGAUCGGGAGGAACACCAGAGGCGAAAGCGGCGACCUGGACAGGCACUGACACUCAACUACGAAAGCGUGGGGAGCAAACAGG